GACGAACGCUGGCGGCGUGCUUAACACAUGCAAGUCGAACGGAAAGGCCCUGCUUUUGUGGGGUGCCCGAGUGGCGAACGGGGGAGUAACACGUGAGUAACCUGCCCUUGACUUUGGGAUAACUUCAGGAAACUGGGGCUAAUACCGGGUAGGAGCUCCUGCUGCAAGGUGGGGGUUGGAAAGUUUCGGCGGUUGGGGAUGGACUCGCGGCUUAUCAGCUUGUUGGUGGGGUAGGGGCUUUCCAAGGCUUUGACGGGUAGCCGGCCUGAGAGGGUGACCGGCCACAUUGGGACUGAGAUACGGCCCAGACUCCUACGGGAGGCAGCAGUGGGGAAUAUUGCACAAUGGGCGGAAGCCUGAUGCAGCAACGCCGCGUGCGGGAUGACGGCCUUCGGGUUGUAAACCGCUUUCGCCUGUGACGAAGCGUGAGUGACGGUAAUGGGUAAAGAAGCACCGGCUAACUACGUG
rnacentral:rRNA from 1 species